rnacentral:misc_RNA from 1 species
UUCUUCUUCUUCUUCUUCUUUUUUGGUGGCUGACGUCAAGUUUUAAGUCAAAGAAAUCCUAUUUUUUUCUUUUAAAUGCGCUUGGACUCUCUUCGGCACGCCUCGGUGUGCCUUGCGCCCAGGUGCUCCUCAGUGAUGUCCUGCGCCUUUUUCUCCUUCAGGCACCACUACCCUACGCCCCUUGCGCCCUGUGCCUCAAGCGCGCCUUUGAUAACUAUGAUAUCCAAGGAACACAUUUAUGGAUUUUGUACUUGUAUGAUGGCUGAAACCCUCUAGUUCAGAGUUACAUGUAGCUAUAUUGUCCCUGGAUAUGUCAUAAAGCAAGGUUAUUAUUAUUAUUUUUAUUGUUUUUUCGGGAGGCUAAAAGAGGGAUGAGAGGAGACAUUUGAAACCUUGACCACACAUGGGGCAUCAACUAUUGCUUUACGAACCUUAGUGCUUUGAUUAGAUUCUUUUGGCAACUUGAUCUUUCUGCUGCAUUCAAAUUGAGUUGUUCUAUUGAGCAAUUGCCAUAGUUAUUAAAGGCGCGCCUC